AACUCAUUACAUGUUAGAGCAUUUUUGAAACAGCCCAUACAGUUAGUGGCUCAUGUUCUCAAAGAUUUUCUGCAAAAGCAAUCUAAAUGAAUUUACUCUUGUUCUUUAAUAUAUCUUCCUGCAAAAUGAUUUUUCUACCGACUUAGGAUAUCUCACCAUGCUGGUGAGGCAAGUUACACAAGUCUUUUUAUGGAACCUGAAAAGUAAUUAACUAUUGCUCUGCUCUGAAACUGAGAUUAAACAGCACUCCAACAGUAGACAGUGGUGCUGGAAAUCAAUUCCCUGUCUGACUAAUUAGCAACAAGUCCACAGGCAGGGGCAGAUUUCGAGUGAAGAAAUGGGAAUUAACUGUCUCUCUCUUACAUUAAUAUGCAAUGAACAGUGUCUGCUAGACAAAUUGGCUGUACUACCACAGUUCAUAGAUUGUAGAUGUCUUUUUUUUUUUUUUUUUUUUUUUACUUGACCAGGAUCCUUGGAAAGGAUUUGGAGUAGAAAAUAUUCAGUUUUAUUAACUUCUAAAAGUUUGGGCAGAAUUUUGCAGAGUUCCGCACCGAGAGGGAGACUCUUCCCUUUGUGAAAUCUUCUGUGGGUGACAUUCAGAUAAUCUUUUAAGAAUUAGUCCCUCCCCCUCCAACCUAGCAGUUCUUUAAUCAGUGACCCCGUCUUGCAAUCUCUUCAAUAAGAUUAAUGACAGUACAUUGCUAGUCAACAGCAUAGUUGACACAGAGGAUUGUGUGCAUACACAACAUAUAUUUCCUGCUGAUGGGGGGUCCUCUAUGUCCAAUGGAUUUACAAAGGGACUUCCGAAAAUUCCCUAAAACUUUCUUCUUAAGCCCCUCACAUGAAGGCCCAUGGACUUAUAGCUGAACAAUGUUUGUCUCUGACAUGGAUUCUGACAGCUUCUGUAUAGAACUUGGGCCCAAUGGUAAAGCCCUCCCACCCAGGAGUGAAGUCCCUUUGAAGAUCACACUCUGGGCAAUAUUUCCACCCAAAAAGCUCUCCUCUUUUUUUUAUUUUUUAUUUUUUUGGAAAGCAGAUCUUAAGAGGAUACAGCCUUUCAUUUUCAUUUGACAGACUCUGCUGCCAUGUUCAAGUUUAGACAGCUGGAUCUGAAGUAGAUGCUGUUUUCCUACUGUCUCUCUUGAUGGGGACACUAAUUUGUUGGCUUUAGGAUUUAAACACUCCCCUCACAUGUUUAGCUGGUUUCUAUGCAUGCCCACAUCUUCUGUUCUAUGUAUUUCUAGGAAAUAUAGUAAACUGAUUCAAAAGCAACAAAGGUCUUCAGAUGAAUUAUUUUCUUUUUAAAGUAGUUUCUUCAGCCUGGAUAUGGUUAAAGUCCAUAACUGCACACAACCCAGGAUAUCUGUAUUACACUGUGUGAUCUGCUGGGUUGAUCAUGAGCUUGGGUUAGAGAUUUGGCUCUUAUGCUUAGGCGGUGUGUGGCCUUGAGCAAAUCACUCUACCCCUCUGGGUCUGAGUUUCUCCACCUGUAAAUUGGGGUUAAUACCUUGCAGGGAGGUGUUGGGAGGAUUAAGGUCUGGGAAGUACUCUGAACAUGUAAAGUGCAAGAUAGGUAGUGUCUUUAUUAAGUGUUGCCUGAGGCAGCCCUACACUUUGUCUCCACAACCUUCCUUGCUGUGCUGCAAAGUUUCAUUUUCUUUGUUUACUAUGGUUAAUGCUCUCUGGAAACUCAUUCCCCUUGCUGCACCACCUGAUGCUUAUAUGCUUAAAACAGCACCCAAAGACCAUUGAAAUAUCAGUUGUUCCCCGGAGCUUAGGAGUCUUUGCUUUGAACCAGUUAAUCACUCAAGAGCCUCUGCAUCUGAUUGAACUUCAGGUUGGAGCAAAGGGGAAAUCUGCUCUUCAGGGCAAUAUACAAUCAGAGAGCCCAGUGCAGAAGCCCCUAGGGGGAAACUCUCAUUGACCUCGGUGGGAGUUUUGCACAAGGCAACAGGUUAGCCAGAACCUUGCGUCACCUAGGAUAAGAGGCACUGCAAUCAAAGCUCUCUCUCAUGGGAUUACGAGAGCUCCAUUACAGGCUCACCAUCAUCUGCAUCAACAACCUCCACUACAACAGCAUCAGCAUCCAUGACUAUUCCAAGAAUUUUGUGGACAACCAGGCAGUUAAAGUUAUAAAGUAGCUUUGAUGUCUGUGCCCGAUUUCUCAGGUUUAUUAGGGAAGCACACCAGCCACUAAAUCCAUCUUGAUUACAUUAAGGGAUAUCUUUCUCCUCAGAAGAUUCUUGGUUCUUAUCCAGUUCAGCACUAGAGCCACUAACCCUGCCUAGCAGCUAACUGAAGUUGAUAUGGGGAAGCACUGAACUGUUUUCAAAUGGUCUGUUUAUCAUGGGUAUUUUAAAUACAAAUGUAAAACUGAUCACAGGAUACUUAUUCCAUGUAGUUGUAUUAAAGGUAUAUAAGUUGUAUUAAAGGUAUAUAAUUUUCUGAAUAAUGACUUUGUUAAACAAGCUUAAGAAGAGAACACUUGUACAGUAUAUGGAAAGCUAUUUGCACUGGGUACAGCAUUAUUACAAACAUUUCACUUGUUUUAAAAGUAGUAAGCACUUACACUACAUUUCAUGGGCCAGAUUUUUCUGCUGGCAUAACUCCAUUGAAAUCAACAGCUGCAAAGUGUUUGGCUAUGUAUGUUCAAGUUUGGCUAUAUAUGUUAUGGAGAUUAACCCUCACCACCCGUUUGGGAGUUAUGUUGAGCAUUAUCUCUAUUAUACAGCUGAAGUAACCACACAAAUAGGUUUGAUAUUAUUUGGUCAAACAUGGCAGAGGACUCAGGAAAUCAGAAACUAUCCACUCCCAACCUGGCCUCUUAGCACUAAAUUUUUGGGUGCUUAACCAUUUGAUCAGUAUGUGUUUGCUCAUCUUGAAUUGAAUUACUUAUAUUUUAACCCAUGAAAUAAGUGUCUAAAUAAAACGUAUUGAAUGAG